GCCUCCUUAGCUCAGUGGCAAGAGUGCUUGGUCUCGUAAACCCAGAGGUCGUGAGUUCGAUACUCACAGGAGGCA